UUGUUUUUGUUUUAUUGGAAUACAAGAAAGGAUCUUGUAGACAUUGUAAAAUAAAUGGGGUACGUCUAAGUUUUCAUCAAGAAUACAAAAAUAAACCUCAGUUUACCACCCUAUCUACAGACAAACACACCCUACCACGUCCAAAACGAGGAUGGACAGUGGGAUCAGCGAGUUAGGAGACAGAGAGGCUCAGCCUCCAGCAAUGAGCAAUGAAGUGGAGGACUGAGGCGUGGCAAGCUCCCUGGGGGAAUGCGCACGCUGGAGAGCACCAAUUAUCAUAAUUGAAGUACCAGAAAUUUUAAUUUCAUGGAGUUUGAAGAGACAGAGCAGCCACUUCCCUGUCAUUCCAGGUUCCAAGACAAGAAGAAUAAAGAUGCUGUGUCAUUUCCUAGAAUUACAAAGAGUGCUGGGCAGCAAAUUCACUGAAGAUGGAAGAACCAAGUGUCACUUCCUUAAGCUGCUCAAGGUCAGACAUGGCAGCUCUGCACUCAGAAAGGACCGUGUGACUCUGGC
rnacentral:lncRNA from 1 species